rnacentral:lncRNA from 1 species
AAAAACAUUUAAAAACUUGGAUUUCAUUAAAUAGCAAACGAUUGAUUUUAUAGAUAUAUUUGCCAUUAAAAUCCUCUACCAAUCACUUGUUUGCUGUCUUUCCGAGUAUGUAAGUCUAAUUUGGUCGCCCCGAUCAAACGGCGGAUCGCUCAUGAUUGAGAAGGACUCUUCAGAAAACAGAAGAAUUUUGACUUCGGCCUUGCCCUUUUGGAAGAUACUGAAUAAAAGAAUAGAUGAUGGAUUUCCCGCAGAUCUUGUCUUCCGUUGGUAUUAGGUUCUCCCAGCGUCGACUCUGCUCCUUAGGACGACAUUGGACGAAUUAUUGGUCCGGGAUCUUGUCUUUUUCGGAUGGUUCGGCGCAGUGAGUCUCACGUAACACGGCUAUCAACGGACAGAGACAGAUUUCAGGUUUCGUUUUACAGACAAUAUCCUAUCUGAAUAAAAAGAGAGUUAAGAUCGAAGAGAAAACUUAACAAUUCCAAAUUAAAAAAAUAAUAAAAAUAGGAAGGAACCAAACGUAAAUCACUAUUAAUUCUUUAGAUUCGACUAGCAAGUCGGGUUAUAAUUUAUUAGAAAUCUUUUCUAUUACACCGUAAAUGCAGCAAAUAUUAAG